CUCCUACGGGAGGCAGCAGUGGGGAAUAUUGGGCAAUGGGCGCAAGCCUGACCCAGCAACGCCGCGUGGGUGAAGGAGUGCUUCGGCAUGUAAAGCCCUAUCGGCAGGGAAGAAGCAAGACGGUACCUGACUAAGAAGCCCCGGCUAACUACGUGCCAGCAGCCGCGGUAAUACGUAGGGGGCGAGCGUUAUCCGGAUUCACUGGGUGUAAAGGGAGCGUAGACGGCGAUGCAAGUCUGAAGUGAAAGGCGGGGGCCCAACCCCCGGACUGCUUUGG
rnacentral:rRNA from 1 species